UUUUGACCCCUUCAUCCUCAGGUAUAUCGAAAUUGACGUCUCCUUCCUUGAUACACCUUUGUUUCCCCAGUUCAUUAUGGAUGUUUUAAGAAACAGCAGCAAAUUUGAUUCCAUCCAGUAAUGGUGUGACAAAUUAACAUCUCCACCAUCCUUUAUGAGACAGUAAAGUUCAUUUUUUAAAAGGAAUUGGUAACAUUUCAAGCCAGAAGACCUGCUCUAACAGUGCCUACCAAAGGCCUCUGAUGCUUGAGAUCAUGACCCUGAGAGCAUACAACCAGGGUCAGUGCCACUCUGGUACACAACCAUGGCAAGGUGGUGACCA